rnacentral:rRNA from 1 species
AGAGUUUGAUCCUGGCUCAGGAUGAACGCUGGCGGUAUGCUUAACACAUGCAAGUCGAACGGUCUCUUCGGAGAUAGUGGCGGACGGGUGAGUAACGCGUGAGAAUCUGGCUCCAGGUCGGGGACAACAGUUGGAAACGACUGCUAACACCGGAUGUGCCGAGAGGUAAAAGAUUUAUUGCCUGGAGAUGAGCUCGCGUCUGAUUAGCUAGUUGGUGUGGUAAGAGCGCACCAAGGCGACGAUCAGUAGCUGGUCUGAGAGGAUGAUCAGCCACACUGGGACUGAGACACGGCCCAGACUCCUACGGGAGGCAGCAGUGGGGAAUUUUCCGCAAUGGGCGAAAGCCUGACGGAGCAAUACCGCGUGAGGGAGGAAGGCUCUUGGGUUGUAAACCUCUUUUCUCAAGGAAUAAAAAAAUGAAGGUACUUGAGGAAUAAGCAUCGGCUAACUCCGUGCCAGCAGCCGCGGUAAUACGGAGGAUGCAAGCGUUAUCCGGAAUGAUUGGGCGUAAAGGGUCCGCAGGUGGCAGUGUAAGUCUGCUGUCAAAGAAUGAGGCUUAACCUCAUCAAGGCAGUGGAAACUACACAGCUAGAGUACGGUCGGGGUAGAAGGAAUUCCUGGUGUAGCGGUGAAAUGCGUAGAGAUCAGGAAGAACACCGGUGGCGAAAGCGUUCUGCUAGACCUGUACUGACACUGAGGGACGAAAGCUAGGGGAGCGAAUGGGAUUAGAUACCCCAGUAGUCCUAGCCGUAAACGAUGGAUACUAGGCGUGGCUUGUAUCGACCCGAGCCGUGCCGGAGCCAACGCGUUAAGUAUCCCGCCU